GUGAAAUAAAUUUCAUUCUAUGAUUUUAAAUUUAUUAUUGCCUUUAUGUAUAAUUAAUGUAUUAUUAUUUUGCCUCUAGCCUCUUUUGCUAUUUAUUUAAAAAAACAUAGAAGGCAAGGGAGUUUAGAGGUUGUUUGUCAAUAGAUGGCUCUGCUGUCCAGUUUUACUUUAUCUUCCAGUUUGAAGAUCCUUGGAGAAAAAUCAGCAGAGUAUUUACCUUGAGGAAAACUGAUGGAGAAAAGGCAGUCUUUUAACAACUCUCAUUGUAUAAAGUGUGGAGCAGUUAUUGGCCAUGGACUUAUAUUAACUGCUCAUCAUCAUUUACAUAAUUUGGCUGUUUCUGGUUUCAAUGAAGAAUUUAUCAAGGAAUUUAUAACCAGCCAUGGAGUGACUUAAUCUCUUCGUCCCGCUCUGCGACAACGAUUUGCUACCUCAUCAACAUCGUGGAUUAUAUGUCUUCGCCCUUAUGGGAACCGUCAUCAUUACCCCCACUCUUUGGACAGAAGACUACUGUAUCGACUACUUAAGGAUAUAGCCUCUUAAACCCCAUUUUGUAGAGCUGGUCGGAAUAGGCUGGGGAAGUAGAUCCUUCCACAACUAAAAACCUUAGUGGAUCUAUUCUAGUGACAUUGGUGCUAGGGUCUUAUUUAAACAUUGAAGAUCUUUAUACUUUUUGUAAAUAAAUGUUAAUAUUUUUA